UAGCAGUCCAAUCAUUUUCCCGAUCGCAGAGGAGAGGCAAAGAACGUUCAACCAAACAAACACCUCUUAAAAUGGGUGCAAUUCAUUUUUUCCCGAAAAUCCUUCACUGAGUUGGUGAGCCUUCAUACGUUUGAAUAUUAACAGGAAGAAUCUGAGAUACAGAAAGAGUUUUCAACAUUUUCUCUUGGACAAAAACUUCACUUUUGUGUGUGGGGAUCGGAGACAGUAUCUUGACGGCACAGCGUCUGCUAGCCCAACCAGACGCCGUGCGGAGCGACAUCGAUCGUUCGUGUAUUUGGUCAAGCUUCGGCGAGACUCAUCCGAACCUGGACGGUCAUUCUACUACGCUUGAUUUAUAAAUUUGAACUUGAUGAUAACAUCAGUGGACAAAGUUUGUGGAAAAAAUAUAUUGUGACGGUACAUGUUCAUAGAUGGAAUUUAUUUUGGUGAUGAACUCAUGUUGCUGCGAACAUGGAUGCCUGACGCUGCUACAACUAGUAAAAUAGAGGACAGGUGGGGACAGGUGAGAAUGCCGAGACUACACGAGCGUUCCAGUAUGAUUUUCACGGAAUCAGGAACUCGCAAGUUAUCUGGGAUCUGUUUCGAAAUAUGCACAUGGAGAUGGAAUGAAAAGUUUCUACGUUUAAGCAUUAAUCUACAACAUGGUUUAAGAACCGAUGCUCGUAGACAUGGACAUGGUAGAAGCCAUGCAGUGAUUCUUUCAACUUGCUAAUCGUCGACAUCACUUCAUGCUACAUCUCCUCCAAUACCGUUCUUGGGAAAUAUAGCCAAGGAGACCAGAUGCAGCAUUCUUCCAUGGCGAUGCAUUCCUAUUACGUUUGAAUAAUAACGGGAAGAACUCGAGAUAUUAAAAAAAAACAUUCAUCUUGACAGAUCUCGUCAUUUUUUGUGUGCGGAUCAGACACCAUUUUCAAGGUAGAGCUUCGCCGAGACUAAUCCGAACUUCACGGGAUGUUUGUUGAUGGGUCUCUGGACGGUCGUUUUACCCUUGAUAUCAAUUUGAACUUGAACAUUUUGUGAAUAUCGGCGGACAGAGACAUGUUGAUCUCACUACAUGUACAUGCCACAUCGCUUCCAAUACCGUUCUUUAGAAAUAUAUCCGAGAAGACCAGAUGAAGAAGUAGUAUUUUCGCAUGACGAUACAUUCCCAAUCUUCAUACCUUUGAAUAAUAACUGGAAGAACUCGAGACAAAAAACGUUCUUCUUGACUGAUCUCUUAAUUUCUGAGUGCGGAUUAGACACAGUUUUCAAGGUUGAGCUUUGCCGAGGUGAAUCCGAACUUCGCAGGAUGUUUGUUGAUGGGUCUCUGGACGGUCGUUCUAUCCUUGAUAUCAAUUUGAACUUGAUACUUUUGUGAAUAUCGGCGGACAGAGACAUGUUGAUCUCACUACAUGCCACAUCGCUUCCAAUACCGUUCUUUAGAAAUAUAUCCGAGAAGACCAGUUGAAGAAGUAGUAUUUUCGCAUGACGAUACAUUCCCAAUCUUCCCCGGCAAUCUUCAUACCUUUGUAUGUUAACUGGAAGAACUCGAGACAAAAAACUUCUUGACUGAUCUCUUCAUUUUUGUGUGCGGAUUAAACACCGUUUUCAAUGUAGAGCUUCGCCGAGACUAAUCCAAACUUCACGGGAUGUUUGUUGAUGGGUCUCCGGACGGUAGUUCUAUCCUUGAUUUAACAAUUUGAACUUGAUAGUUUUGUGAAUAUCAGCGAACAGAGACAUUUUUGGGGAGCACUGGAUAAAUAUCUACUUCACUGGAUCUUAGAUGAAAAUUUGUUUUGGUGCUGAAUUCGUGUUGCCGAGGAAAUGGAUCGCUGCAUAAUGAUGCUAUCAAAGAGAGGACAGAUGAACAUGCUGAGACUGAACAAAAGUUCCUGUAUGAAUCUCGUUGAAUCGUUUGUUAGUUAGGAUUCGUUACACUUUGAAAACAGGGGCGGUGCCACAGCCAGCUGACAAGGGGUGUUGCCCCCUAUGAUUUUUCUUUUCAAGUGAGGACAACAACAGCAACGAAAAUACGAAAGAGGAGAAAAACGAUGAAUAAAGAAGAAGGAGGCAAACAAUUUAAAGAGCGUUUACUAGGUCGUCUAAAUCUUUAAGACCCCGAUAAUUUGAUGACAAGUUGACGUCAUCUUUGAUUCGUCUUUCCCCCUAUACCUGGCGCCGCCCCUGCUUGGGUAAACAUGGCAGGUGAAAUUACCGACAAAGCAUGAACGAUAUUCAAAAAUUCGGGCGUUAAUCGACUUCGAAUCUGAAAGACAUGGGACAUGAGGUUUGCCAUCGGAAACGUAUUUGUUUCUUACCGCUUACAAGGUAUGAAAUAGCCCAGACAUCUUUACGGCACUGGUCAGGAGACACAAGAACAGUAUAAAAUCAUUCAUGGCUCUCGCCGGCCUGUUGACCCAGAGCAAA